AGGGCACCCCCAGGAGUGGAGCCUGCGGCUUAAUUUGACUCAACACGGGAAAUCUCACCAGGCCCGGACACCGGAAGGAUUGACAGAUUGAGAGCUCUUUCUUGAUUCCGUGGGUGGUGGUGCAUGGCCGUUCUUAGUUGGUGGAGCGAUUUGUCUGGUUAAUUCCGAUAACGAACGAAACUCUGGCCUACUAAAUAGACUUUAGAUCCCUUUGUGGGUCUAUCGCAGCUUCUUAGAGGGACGGGCGGCGUUCAGCCGCACGAGAUUGAGCAAUAACAGGUCUGUGAUGCCCUUAGAUGUUCUGGGCUGCACGCGCGCUACACUGAAGGAAUCAGCGUGUGUUCCCUGCCCGAAAGGACUGGGAAACCCGUUGAACCUCCUUCGUGAUGGGGAUUGGGGAUUGCAAUUAUUCCCCAUGAACGAGGAAUUCCCAGUAGGCGCGAGUCAUAAGCUUGCGUCGAUUACGUCCCUGCCCUUUGCACACACCGCCCGUCGCUACUACCGAUCGAGUGAUUUAGU
rnacentral:rRNA from 1 species